rnacentral:misc_RNA from 1 species
GUAACAAGGUUUCCGUAGGUGAACCUGCGGAAGGAUCAUUACUGAUUUGCUUAAUUGCACCACAUGUGUUUUUCUUUGAAACAAACUUGCUUUGGCGGUGGGCCCAGCCUGCCGCCAGAGGUCUAAACUUACAACCAAUUUUUUAUCAACUUGUCACACCAGAUUAUUACUUAAUAGUCAAAACUUUCAACAACGGAUCUCUUGGUUCUCGCAUCGAUGAAGAACGCAGCGAAAUGCGAUACGUAAUAUGAAUUGCAGAUAUUCGUGAAUCAUCGAAUCUUUGAACGCACAUUGCGCCCUCUGGUAUUCCGGAGGGCAUGCCUGUUUGAGCGUCGUUUCUCCCUCAAACCGCUGGGUUUGGUGUUGAGCAAUACGACUUGGGUUUGCUUGAAAGACGGUAGUGGUAAGGCGGGAUCGCUUUGACAAUGGCUUAGGUCUAACCAAAAACAUUGCUUGCGGCGGUAACGUCCACCACGUAUAUCUUCAAACUUUGACCUCAAAUCAGGUAGGACUACCCGCUGAACUUAAGCAUAUCA